rnacentral:lncRNA from 1 species
AGCCUCUGCUGCGGGGGUUGCCGGUGCCACUUCCCCUCUCCACAGCCGUGCGGUGCCCAGCUUAGCUCACGUUCACAGUUCUUUCAGCAGAUGUAGCCGUGGACAGCAGCCUGGUUACAGUGGGAUGUGCAGCUGGCCGACCCCCUCUAGCCAUCCUGCAAGUCACUGUGAACGCCCUCACGCUCCAACAGCAAAGCCACUGCUCAGAAAGAGGCUGGGCUCCUGCACACCUGCCAGCGAUGGCUACCCGUGUCCAUCCUGUUCACUGAAGGGGAGCGGCUCCUGGAGGGUGAAGCCGCUGUGGUUUGAGGGUGAAGCCACUGUCGUUUGAGCCCUCGGCCCGGACGCAGCUGAUGCACCAGCCACAGAAGCACGGAGGAGUCAAGAAUGGGAAGGACAGAAACGGUUCCUGACCUCGGGAGCUGGAGGUUGAGUGGGUCUUUGUGGACUCAGUGGGAACUGAGAACAAUUCC